UAUCACAACACAAGGUGAAGCUUUUGAGCUCUCCAGCUUUUGAUGGAUGUUGACAACUAAAAGAACAGAGGAAGCAGAAAAACCAUAUUCCAGGUGGUGUGUUGCUGGUUAUAUCUAAUCCAUUUGGAAUCUUUUCGUAAUUAUGACUUUUGGCCCUGUUUUUUUCAAUGAGAACUUCAAGGCUCUUUGGGGCAGCUGUUUUUGCAGUUAAUGGCACCAAAAACACAGUCCCCCCCCCUUUAAACCAUCAACCCACCAACUUUGAGCACACUCAACAAUGGAGUUUGGUGUUUAUGCAUCCCGAAGAAUGUUUGGGAAGGUGUCAAGGUUAGUUACAUAAGGGCUCGCUGCUUUCUCCUUGGGAUCUGAUUUGUUGUUGAGUAAAACAAGAUGCUGCCGGCCUAAUUCUUGGCUGCUGCUGCUACGUGCAUGGAGGAUGUUGUUGUUUCCUUCUUCCUUAAAUGGAGUGGAACAGAAGAAACCAAAAGCAAUGGCUAAUUGCACGUGAACCAAUCCUAGAAUUUUUACAUCAGAAAUACUCCAUGAUAAGAAAUUGGAACAAGAUUCUACUUUGCAGUAUGUUUCACAAAACACAUAUGCCUUUGUGGCACAUUGAUACCUUUAAUAGGGGGGAAAGUAUGCACAAACUGAAAGUAGAGGCAACUAUUUAUUCCAUGUCCAUAAAUAAUUUUUAAAAACACACAGAAGAAUGGCAGAUUGUUAAUGUACAGGUUUCAUUCUAUAAAUAUAAAAUAUGGAAACACAAAAUCAGAAAUUCAGAUGGGAAUAAUUUUGUAAGCAUCCCAUGUAAUGAAACACAUAGUAAAACAGUAGCAGAUACAAUGUCUCAGUCUAUAUGCAAGGGACAGGAUUUGUUGUUAUGCUAUCGGUUGAAGGAUAUCCUUAAUGUUUUUGGA